rnacentral:lncRNA from 1 species
GGGGGCUAUUGUCCCAAUGAGAGCAAGAGAACCAGUCAAGAGAAUAGAGGAGGGUGAAGGAUGGAUGGAAAUGAAGAGAAGGGAUUUUGAGGUGAUUGUCUCAGAUUUUGGAGAUUAGGGCUUAAAGUUUUAAUAGAGAGCAAGAAGGAGAGGGUUUUGAUCAAAGAUAUGUCGAGAGGAUGUGUUUACCCUAGAUUUUAAGGUAGAAACAAGAGAUUUUUAGGCGGAUUAAGGUUUGGAUUUAAGAGAAUGUGGUCGGCGGGGAGCUUGGAGUAGGGUUUUGGUUUGGGAUGAGGAGAGGAGGAAGA